rnacentral:rRNA from 1 species
AUAACAAUGAUUCCCUCAGUAACGGCGAGCGAAGAGGGAUAAGCUCAAAUUUUAAAUCUGUUGGGUUCCACUCGACAGAGUUGUAUUUUGAAGAAACGUUUUCUGCAUCCAGGAUUAGCCUAAAUCCUUUGGGAUAAGGUAUCAUGGAGGGUGAGAAUCCCGUUCAUGGUUAAUCUUAAGGAAGCUCUACGAUACGUUUUCCAAGAGUCGAGUUGUUUGGGAUUGCAGCUCAAAAUGGGAGGUAAAUUUCUCCUAAGGCUAAAUAUUGGCGAGAGACCGAUAGCGAACAAGUACCGUGAGGGAAAGAUGAAAAGAACUUUGAAAAGAGAGUUAAACAGUACGUGAAAUUGUUGAAAGGGAAACGAUUGAAGUCAGUCAUACCAACGGGAAAUCAACCUUUUGAGCUCGGUCUCGUGGGUUUGAAGAGUUUCAAAGCCUUCGGAUUCGCGGGAUUGGGAUCUCUUGGUGUACUUUUUCGUACGGUUAGUCAACAUCGGUUUUGAAUGUCAUAAAAUGACUGGAGGAAUGUAGCUUCGAUCUCGUAUUGAAGUGUUAUAGCCUUUGGUAGAUGUGAUGUUUGAGACCGAGGAUUGCAACGGAUACCCUUCAGGGCUAUUCGUCUGAUCUCUGAUACGUUGCCUUGAUGUUGAAAGCUUGCUUAUGAUGUUAGGGUAUUACGGUCAAAAGGUUAGAACGAAUUACAUUCGUUAAGGAUGU